CUCGGCUGUGUCUGCACAUGUAAUUGCCUCAGGAAGUAGGAGAAAGAAAAAAACAAACCUGACAUAGUUAAUUAGAGAUGGAGCUGGGUUUCGUGGUCCAGCCGAUACAACCCCUCGACCAGUUCGGCCCUGAUUUCACACCACGCUGGCCGGUUAUUGGCCCAUUCAAGACCUGAGCCCUGG